GGUGGCUACAAAAAAGAAAGCCAUAGCAGAUGAUCUGGGUAUGCUACUACAAGCCAAGCUGAGGCAAGCAUCGCCUGGCCCGAGUUCAUGAGAGCUAGAUGCACACCUAGCCAAGCUGAGGCAAGCAUCACCUGGCCCUAGUUCAUGAGAGCUGGAUGCACACCUUGUAUGAUUCCUUGUUGGAUGAAUGUAUCUUCUAGUUUGUGGCAUCAAGGGAACAUAUUUUAGUUUGUGGCAUCAAGGGAACACAGGAUUGUCAUGGUGGCAGGGUCAUGGAUAAUUUGUUGAACAUGCCGCAUCAAACAUCAUAG
rnacentral:lncRNA from 1 species